GUUUUCUUGGCUCCUAGCCCAGUGGCACCUAUCCUGGCUUUUGGUCCCUGCUUACGGCCAAGCGCUGUCCCCAGCCUGGGGCUUGAGCAGUUGGUGGUGGUGUCGUGGUGCUGAUACAAUAUUAAUGAAGCCAUCAAUUAAAAAUCCACUAAAUAUUGGUGAGGCCUAUGAGAAAAAAAACAUAAAGGAAAUAUUUCUGAAGCAGAAGUCUGCCAUAACUACUAUCCUAUCAGAGGCCCUUCCUACUUCACAUUAGUAUUCCUAAACUGUCAUCCUAAAACCUGGCCAUGGUGCCUACCAUGGGAAGACAACUUCUGGACACUCAUCUUAAGGAUGCACUCUGCCUUCCUGAAAGGGAUAAGAAUAUGUGACGGAUUCUCAGGCUCCCCAGAGAGAAGGAUAUAGCAUUAUAUAUGAGCACCGUACGAUACUAUUGUAUUUCUAAGACAGUAAUUGUACAAAACAGAAUUAUUUCAACCAUGUUGCCACUCCAUCUAACAACUGUGAAAGCUAAAUAUGAAUAUGAGCCAAUGGCAGAAAGACUUCUGAAACUCAUUCUUAACUUUAUAGUAGAAACAUUUAUAUUAAAAAAAAAAUCUCCAUUUAAAAAUAUAUUGCUAAGUUAGACUCUAUGAAAUUUAUAAUUAGCUAAUAACAUAAUUUAUCUACACAAACGUUAAAAACUGACAGUCAGUGGAUACAUUAUUUCAUACCAAAAGUUACUCUAUCUAGAAGAAAAUAAAAUAAUUUCUAUAAAUUAAUCUUCGAAUCUUUAAAGUACCAAUUUACAAGACAGGACAUUGAAAAAAGUCAUCAUUCUAUUUGUAAAGAAGGCCAAGACAACGCAUCUCAGGUGGGAGCCAACCAUGUACGUGUUGCUACUAUCAAUCGUGGCCCUCAGUCAAGAACAUGCAUUUCUGGUUCAUUUCAUCAAGAAUAAUUGUCUUAUUUGUUUCUCCCUCUUGGCACAGAGUUAUGACAAAAUUUAUUCUUAAUCUCAUUAGAUUUUCAAAAGACAUCACACCGAAAUUCAAAUCAUGGCUAAACUCUCCAAGUGUGGUACGUGGGGGAAAUGGAGAAAUACAUGUCUAUAUCAGAGCCACAGAUUGUCAAUUCCUCUUAAAACUGAAAUUUAUCCUCCAGAUUUCCCUUGUGUGUUACUUUCUGUCCUGAAUUCAUUCCUUAUUUAGCCUUUACUAAUUUGUUUCAGAUAUAGUAGUGUAAGCAGCAGCAAUGUGACCAGAGUGAGCACUAUACUUUAUUUCCAUUUAUUUCCAUAUAAACAUUUUGGCAGCCACGUAAGUUCAUUGAGUCCUUUGGAAAUCUAAUCAUAACAGAAAA